UACAGGAGGGGCAAGCGUUGUUCGGAAUUACUGGGCGUAAAGGGCGCGUAGGCGGCCACCUAAGUCAGACGUGAAAUCCCUCGGCUCAACCGGGGGAACUGCGUCUGAUACGUGGGUGGCUUGAAUUCGGGGAGAGGGGAUGCGGAAUUCCAGGUGUAGCGGUGAAAUGCGUAGAUAUCUGGAGGAACACCGGUGGCGAAGGCGGCAUCCUGGACCGAGAUUGACGCUGAGGCGCGAAAGCCAGGGGAGCAAACGGG
rnacentral:rRNA from 1 species